rnacentral:rRNA from 1 species
GUCGAACGAGAAUCUACUGAAAGAGUUUUCGGACAAUGGAUGUAGAGGAAAGUGGCGGACGGGUGAGUAACGCGUGAGGAACCUGCCUUGAAGAGGGGGACAACAGUUGGAAACGACUGCUAAUACCGCAUAACGCAUAGGGGUCGCAUGAUCUUUAUGCCAAAGAUUUAUUGCUUCAAGAUGGCCUCGCGUCUGAUUAGCUAGUUGGCGGGGUAACGGCCCACCAAGGCGACGAUCAGUAGCCGGACUGAGAGGUUGAACGGCCACAUUGGGACUGAGAUACGGCCCAGACUCCUACGGGAGGCAGCAGUGGGGAAUAUUGGGCAAUGGGCGCAAGCCUGACCCAGCAACGCCGCGUGAAGGAAGAAGGCUUUCGGGUUGUAAACUUCUUUUAAGAGGGAAGAGUAGAAGACGGUACCUCUAGAAUAAGCCACGGCUAACUACGUGCCAGCAGCCGCGGUAAUACGUAGGUGGCAAGCGUUGUCCGGAUUUACUGGGUGUAAAGGGCGUGCAGCCGGGUCUGCAAGUCAGAUGUGAAAUCCAUGGGCUCAACCCAUGAACUGCAUUUGAAACUGUAGAUCUUGAGUGUCGGAGGGGCAAUCGGAAUUCCUAGUGUAGCGGUGAAAUGCGUAGAUAUUAGGAGGAACACCAGUGGCGAAGGCGGAUUGCUGGACGAUAACUGACGGUGAGGCGCGAAAGUGUGGGGAGCAAACAGGAUUAGAUACCCUGGUAGUCCACACUGUAAACGAUGAAUACUAGGUGUGCGGGGACUGACCCC